GAUGAACGCUGGCGGCGUGCCUAAUACAUGCAAGUCGAGCGAACAGACGAGGAGCUUGCUCCUCUGACGUUAGCGGCGGACGGGUGAGUAACACGUGGAUAACCUACCUAUAAGACUGGGAUAACUUCGGGAAACCGGAGCUAAUACCGGAUAAUAUAUUGAACCGCAUGGUUCAAUAGUGAAAGACGGUUUUGCUGUCACUUAUAGAUGGAUCCGCGCCGCAUUAGCUAGUUGGUAAGGUAACGGCUUACCAAGGCGACGAUGCGUAGCCGACCUGAGAGGGUGUUCGGCCACACGGGAACUGAGACACGGUCCAGACGCCUACGGGAGGCAGCAGUAGGGAAUCUGCCGCAAUGGGCGAAAGCCUGGCGGAGCAACGCGGCGUGAGUGAUGAAGGUCUUCGGAUCGUAAUACUCUGUUAUUAGGGAAGAACAAAUGUGUAAGUAACUAUGCACGUCUUGACGGUACCUAAUCAGAAAGCCACGGCUAACUACGUG
rnacentral:rRNA from 1 species